GAUGAAGAACGCAGCGAAACGCGAUACGUAAUGUGAAUUGCAGAAUUCAGUGAAUCAUCGAAUCUUUGAACGCACAUUGCGCCCUUUGGUAUUCCUUAGGGCAUGCCUGUUCGAGCGUCAUUUGAAACCUCAAGCUCAGCUUGGUGUUGGGUGUCUGUCCCCGCCUCACCGCGGGGACUCGCCUCAAAAUCAUUGGCGGCCGGUACGUUGGCUUCGAGCGCAGCAGAAACGCGAACUCGAGGCCCGGCGGAUCGGCGACCAGAAGUCACUUCUUCACAGUUUGACCUCGGAUCAGGUAGGGAUACCCGCUGAACUUAAGCAUAUCAAUAAGCGGAGGA
rnacentral:misc_RNA from 1 species